GACGAACGCUGGCGGCGUGCUUAACACAUGCAAGUCGAACGGAAAGGCCCUGCUUUUGUGGGGUGCUCGAGUGGCGAACGGGUGAGUAACACGUGAGUAACCUGCCCUUGACUUUGGGAUAACUUCAGGAAACUGGGGCUAAUACCGGAUAGGAGCUCCUGCUGCAUGGUGGGGGUUGGAAAGUUUCGGCGGUUGGGGAUGGACUCGCGGCUUAUCAGCUUGUUGGUGGGGUAGUGGCUUACCAAGGCUUUGACGGGUAGCCGGCCUGAGAGGGUGACCGGCCACAUUGGGACUGAGGUACGGCCCAGAGUCCUACGGGAGACAGCAGUGGGGAAUAUUGCACAAUCGGCGGAAGCCUGAGGCAGCAACGCCGCGUGCGGGAUGACGGCCUUCGGGUUGUAAACCGCUUUCGCCUGUGACGAAGCGUGAGUGACGGUAAUGGGUAAAGAAGCACCGGCUAACUACGUG
rnacentral:rRNA from 1 species